rnacentral:rRNA from 1 species
AAAUUGAAGAGUUUGAUCAUGGCUCAGAUUGAACGCUGGCGGCAGGCCUAACACAUGCAAGUCGAGCGGUAACACAGAG